rnacentral:lncRNA from 1 species
GAGGACAGUGAUGUGCCAUGGGGGAAAUGGCCAAGAGGCCAUGUUGUCACUGUAAAUCAGAAAAUUUAGGAGAGGCAGCUCUUCUGCGUGGGGACCUUGAAAUGCAAAGAAGCUCUGCUGGAGGCAAAAGAUUUCGAGGACCUGUGGUGCAGUGGACAGGACCCAGCCUGUACCCCGAGGACUCACCCCGAGAUAAACAGGAUAAAUCAUUCUCCUCUACAGUCCUCUCCUACCCUUCCUGGAGCCUCCGCUGUGGAGACCAAAAAAGAGAGAAGCUUCUCUAG